GGAGGCAGCAGUGGGGAAUUUUGGACAAUGGGCGAAAGCCUGAUCCAGCAAUGCCGCGUGUGUGAAGAAGGCCUUCGGGUUGUAAAGCACUUUUGUCCGGAAAGAAAUCCUGGCGGCUAAUAUCCGCCGGGGAUGACGGUACCGGAAGAAUAAGCACCGGCUAACUACGUGCCAGCAGCCGCGGUAAUACGUAGGGUGCGAGCGUUAAUCGGAAUUACUGGGCGUAAAGCGUGCGCAGGCGGUGAUGUAAGACCGAUGUGAAAUCCCCGGGCUUAACCUGGGAACUGCAUUGGUGACUGCAUCGCUGGAGUAUGGCAGAGGGGGGUAGAAUUCCACGUGUAGCAGUGAAAUGCGUAGAGAUGUGGAGGAAUACCGAUGGCGAAGGCAGCCCCCUGGGCCAAUACUGACGCUCAUGCACGAAAGCGUGGGGAGCAAACAGGAUUAGAUACCCUGGUAGUCCACGCCCUAAACGAUGUCAACUGGUUGUCGGGCCUUCAUUGGCUUGGUAACGUAGCUAACGCGUGAAGUUGACCGCCUGGGGAGUACGGUCGCAAGAUUAAAACUCAAAGGAAUUGACGGGGACCCGCACAAGCGGUGGAUGAUGUGGAUUAAUUCGAUGCAACGCGAAAAACCUUACCUACCCU
rnacentral:rRNA from 1 species